UACGAAGGGGGCUAGCGUUGCUCGGAAUCACUGGGCGUAAAGCGCACGUAGGCGGAUCUUUAAGUCAGGGGUGAAAUCCCAAGGCUCAACCUUGGAACUGCCUUUGAUACUGGGGAUCUCGAGUCCGGAAGAGGUUGGUGGAACUGCGAGUGUAGAGGUGAAAUUCGUAGAUAUUCGCAAGAACACCAGUGGCGAAGGCGGCCAACUGGUCCGGUACUGACGCUGAGACGCGAAAGCGUGGGGAGCAAACAGG
rnacentral:rRNA from 1 species